GUGGGGAAUAUUGCACAAUGGGGGAAACCCUGAUGCAGCGACGCCGCGUGAGUGAAGAAGUAUUUCGGUACGUAAAGCUCUAUCAGCAAGGAAGAAAAUGACGGUACUUGACUAAGAAGCCCCGGCUAACUACGUGCCAGCAGCCGCGGUAAUACGUAGGGGGUAAGCGUUAUCCGGAUUUACUGGGUGUAAAGGGAGCGUAGACGGUAUGGUAAGUCAGAUGUGAAAGCCCGGGGCUCAACCCCGGGACUGCAUUUGAAACUAUCAGACUAGAGUGCAGGAGAGGUAAGUGGAAUUCCUAGUGUAGCGGUGAAAUGCGUAGAUAUUAGGAGGAACACCAGUGGCGAAGGCGGCUUACUGGACUGUAACUGACGUUGAGGCUCGAAAGCGUGGGGAGCAAACAGGAUUAGAUACCCGAGUAGUCC
rnacentral:rRNA from 1 species